rnacentral:tRNA from 1 species
GGUGGCUCAGUGGUAGAGCGCUUGCCUCACAUGCAUGAGGUCCUGGGUUCGAUUCCUUAGCACCA